UCCACUAACCUUGAUACUAUACAUGUUUCUUUUCUAAUCUUUAGCUAGAAAAACUGCUAAAGGCACUUAUGAUUCAGCUCCAUUUGGAGGGUGGGGGAAGGAGGAGAGAAGGCAAGUCACUCAGAAUCGAGGUGCAGCUCUGAGAAGGAUCUUGGACAAGCAAUAACUGCAGAAUGCGAAAUAAGAAAAUCAGUCACAUGGCUUAGGGAUGUCUAAAUGAAGAAGAGAAGACUUAGGAAGUGGUCUUCAAAUGACUGUUCUGCUGGCGCCAAAGGAAUGGAAAAUACAGAGUGUGCUUAGAACAGUGCCCGGCA